AUUUCGUCACUAGAUUGUCUGCGUCCGCGCUCAGAGGCCUGUUUCACAUUGUCGUUCCAAUUGGAUCUCUCCUCACAAAUUGUCUUUCAUCACUUCUCCCACGCAAUUCCACAAUCAAUCAUAAUUGCUAAACGUCCUUCAACAACGUAGAUCAACCGCAACUGCCAUCCUCUCCAGUUGCAUUGAAGCAGUUAAGAAUCAUUGACAGCCAUGGUGAAACC